rfam:Schistosoma mansoni strain Puerto Rico chromosome 2, complete genome
AUCCAGCUGAUGAGUCCCAAAUAGGACGAGAUGAGCAUUCUUGAU